rnacentral:rRNA from 1 species
UACGUAGGGUGCAAGCGUUGUCCGGAAUUAUUGGGCGUAAAGGGCUCGUAGGCGGUCUUGUGCGUCGGUGCUGAAAGCGCCCGGCUUAACCGGGCGAGGCGUGCCGAUACGACAAGACUUGAGGGGCAGCGAGGGUGGCGGAACUCCUGGUGUAGUGGUGAAAUGCGUAGAGAGUCAGGAAGAACACCCGUGGCGCAAGC